GACGUAGGGGGCGAGCGUUGUCCGGAUUUAUUGGGCGUAAAGCGUGCGUAGGCGGCUGCGCAAGUCGGGUGUGAAACCCCGGGGCUCAACCCCGGAACUGCAUCCGAUACUGCGUGGCUAGAGGUAGGUAGGGGAGAUCGGAAUUCCUGAUGUAGCGGUGAAAUGCGCAGAUAUCAGGAAGAACACCCGUGGCUAAGGCGGCUCUCUAGUACGGUACUGACGCUGAGACGCGAAAGCGUGGGGAGCGAACAGG
rnacentral:rRNA from 1 species